rnacentral:rRNA from 1 species
CAUCCUCCAAGGCUAAAUACUCCUGACUGACCGAUAGUGAACCAGUACCGUGAGGGAAAGGCGAAAAGAACCCCGGCGAGGGGAGUGAAAAAGAACCUGAAACCGUGUACGUACAAGCAGUGGGAGCCUCUCUUUAUGGGGGGUGACUGCGUACCUUUUGUAUAAUGGGUCAGCGACUUAUAUUCUGUAGCAAGGUUAACCGAAUAGGGGAGCCGAAGGGAAACCGAGUCUUAACUGGGCGUUAAGUUGCAGGGUAUAGACCCGAAACC